AGAGUUUGAUCCUGGCUCAGGACGAACGCUGGCGGCGUGCCUAAUACAUGCAAGUCGAACGCACUCUCGUUUAGAUUGAAGGAGCUUGCUCCUGAUUGAUAAACAUUUGAGUGAGUGGCGAACGGGUGAGUAACGCGUGGGGAAUCUGCUUUUGAGCGGGGGACAACAUUUGGAAACGAAUGCUAAUACCGCAUAAUAACUUUAAACAUAAGUUUUAAGUUUGAAAGAUGCAAUUGCAUCACUCAAAGAUGAUCCCGCGUUGUAUUAGCUAGUUGGUGAGGUAAAGGCUCACCAAGGCGAUGAUACAUAGCCGACCUGAGAGGGUGAUCGGCCACAUUGGGACUGAGACACGGCCCAAACUCCUACGGGAGGCAGCAGUAGGGAAUCUUCGGCAAUGGACGAAAGUCUGACCGAGCAACGCCGCGUGAGUGAAGAAGGUUUUCGGAUCAUAAAACUCUGUUGUUAGAGAAGAACAAGGAUGAGAGUAACUGCUCGUCCCUUGACGGUAUCUAACCAGAAAGCCAUGGCUAACUACGUGCCAGCAGCCGCGGUAAUACGUAGAUGGCAAGCGUUGUCCGGAUUUAUUGGGCGUAAAGCGCGCGCAGGUGGUUUCUUAAGUCUGAUGUGAAAGCCCACGGCUCAACCGUGGAGGGUCAUUGGAAACUGGGAGACUUGAGUGCAGAAGAGGAUAGUGGAAUUCCAAGUGUAGCGGUGAAAUGCGUAGAGAUUUGGAGGAACACCAGUGGCGAAGGCGACUGUCUGGUCUGUAACUGACACUGAGGCGCGAAAGCGUGGGGAGCAAACAGGAUUAGAUACCCUGGUAGUCCACGCCGUAAACGAUGAGUGCUAAGUGUUAGGGGGUUUCCGCCCCUUAGUGCUGCAGCUAACGCAUUAAGCACUCCGCCUGGGGAGUACGACCGCAAGGUUGAAACUCAAAGGAAUUGACGGGGGCCCGCACAAGCGGUGGAGCAUGUGGUUUAAUUCGAAGCAACGCGAAGAACCUUACCUAAGCUUGACAUCCUUUUGACCGAUGCCUAAUCGCAUCUUUCCCUUCGGGGACAGAAGUGACAGGUGGUGCAUGGUUGUCGUCAGCUCGUGUCGUGAGAUGUUGGGUUAAGUCCCGCAACGAGCGCAACCCUUGCCUUUAGUUGCCAGCAUUAAGUUGGGCACUCUAGAGGGACUGCCAGGGAUAACCUGGAGGAAGGUGGGGAUGACGUCAAAUCAUCAUGCCCCUUAUGCUUAGGGCUACACACGUGCUACAAUGGGUGGUACAGAGGGCAGCCAAACCGUGAGGUGGAGCUAAUCCCUUAAAGCCAUUCUCAGUUCGGAUUGUAGGCUGAAACUCGCCUACAUGAAGCUGGAGUUACUAGUAAUCGCAGAUCAGAAUGCUGCGGUGAAUGCGUUCCCGGGUCUUGCACACACGCCCGUCA
rnacentral:rRNA from 1 species